rnacentral:lncRNA from 1 species
GCAGAAGAUGCCUUGUCUAGCAGAAGAUAUAGAGGUGACAGUUGAAGAAUCUGAGGAGCCAUAAGGCUGUAUGGAAAUGGCUACAGUCCAUGAAGGAGAAAUUCAGGACAGAGGAGGCUCUUCAAGAGAUCGUGUUGAGAAGUGGAUAUUAGACAAUUGUGGAUGCUCUGCCUGGAUGAUAGUGCUCUGCCUGGAUGAUAGUGAUGGUGAGAAUGUCCUUGUCCUUCCUCCAGUGAUUUUACUAUAUGACAAGUCCA